UACGUAGGUGGCAAGCGUUGUCCGGAAUUAUUGGGCGUAAAGGGCUCGCAGGCGGUUUCUUAAGUCUGAUGUGAAAGCCCCCGGCUCAACCGGGGAGGGUCAUUGGAAACUGGGAAACUUGAGUGCAGAAGAGGAGAGUGGAAUUCCGACGUGUAGCGGUGAAAUGCGUAGAGAUGUGGAGGAACACCAGUGGCGAAGGCGACUCUCUGGUCUGUAACUGACGCUGAGGAGCGAAAGCGUGGGGAGCGAACAGG
rnacentral:rRNA from 1 species